CACGUGCUCGUGUAACACGUAUACAAUUUCAAUAUUAAAGUAUAACAUAUUGUUAAAUUUAGUUCACCUAAAUCGUCAGUUGAAGUGCAUUAUUAUUAUUUGUCACCCAAUUAACCUUGUCAUACUAUGGGUGCACUCAGAAAUGGAAUAUGACGUGUAUCAAACGACUAUAACAUUCAUACACCUUUCGAGCACUCGCAGAAAACCCCCAAGAUUUAAUAAUGUAGAACGUUUCCAUCCAUCAUUCGAGUUAACGUCUGUGAAAAUACGUGUCAAAGCAGCCGCCGCCGCCGUUCCGAAGACAAUAUUAUAUAUGUUUGGAAAACAACUGACUUGAUAUGAUAAAAUAUAAUGCGCUCGUUAGGUGUACACGAAUAUCUCAUUAACGGUGCACGACAGUGUUUUAUAAUAUUAUACACUGGCAGACAGUAUACAUAAAUAUCAAAAAAAAAAAAAAACCGAAUAAUAUAUAAUAAAGACUCGUAGACAAUAUUAUCCGUACUUUCAAAGUGUAUAGUAUUCCGUUUGUAGCGGACCGAAACGCUUCAUUCCAAUUUUAUAAUAUAAUAUGCACGGUCGAGUUAUUUAUAACGUAAAACGGCAAGAGCGUUUGAGAGCCGGACUAGUUAGUGAGCAAAUAAAAAAAAAAAAAAUGGAACAAAUGACGAUUAUAAAGUGUUUGUAUUAUAAAUGAUUG